rfam:Cricetulus griseus cell line CHO-K1, whole genome shotgun sequence.
GUUUGUAGUAUACAGCUGUGUACAUUUGUAGGCGGAUCCGAGGAGGGACUGGCGGGUUCGAACUCCCUACCGCGGCUCCAGGAGAUGUCCUGGUAGC